GUUUCCAUGGUGUAGUGGUUAUCACGUUUGCCUAACAUGUGAAAAGUCCCCAGUUCAAAACUGGGCGGAAACA